rnacentral:rRNA from 1 species
CAGGCCUAACACAUGCAAGUCGAGCGGGGAGAUGUAGCUUGCUACAUUUCCUAGCGGCGGACGGGUGAGUAAUGCUUAGGAAUCUGCCUAUUAGUGGGGGACAACAUUCCGAAAGGAAUGCUAAUACCGCAUACGCCCUACGGGGGAAAGCAGGGGAUCUUCGGACCUUGCGCUAAUAGAUGAGCCUAAGUCAGAUUAGCUAGUUGGUGGGGUAAAGGCCUACCAAGGCGACGAUCUGUAGCGGGUCUGAGAGGAUGAUCCGCCACACUGGGACUGAGACACGGCCCAGACUCCUACGGGAGGCAGCAGUGGGGAAUAUUGGACAAUGGGCGCAAGCCUGAUCCAGCCAUGCCGCGUGUGUGAAGAAGGCCUUUUGGUUGUAAAGCACUUUAAGCGAGGAGGAGGCUACUUAGAUUAAUACUCUAGGAUAGUGGACGUUACUCGCAGAAUAAGCACCGGCUAACUCUGUGCCAGCAGCCGCGGUAAUACAGAGGGUGCGAGCGUUAAUCGGAUUUACUGGGCGUAAAGCGUGCGUAGGCGGCUUCUUAAGUCGGAUGUGAAAUCCCUGAGCUUAACUUAGGAAUUGCAUUCGAUACUGGGAAGCUAGAGUAUGGGAGAGGAUGGUAGAAUUCCAGGUGUAGCGGUGAAAUGCGUAGAGAUCUGGAGGAAUACCGAUGGCGAAGGCAGCCAUCUGGCCUAAUACUGACGCUGAGGUACGAAAGCAUGGGGAGCAAACAGGAUUAGAUACCC